GACAGAGGUGCCAAGCGUUAGGCGGAAUCACUGGGCUUAAAGCGUGUGUAGGCGGAUGCCUAAGUACCUUGUGAAAUCCCACGGCUCAACCGUGGAACUGCUUGGUAUACUGGGUGUCUUGAGCCAUCUAGGGGCUACCGGAACAAAUGGUGGAGCGGUGAAAUGCGCAGAGAUCGGGAGGAACACCCGUAGCGAAGGCGGCACUCUGGGCCGGUACUGACGCUGAGGAGCGAAAGCGUGGGGAGCAAACAGG
rnacentral:rRNA from 1 species